UUUAUAAUUACAGCGCCCGAACUAAGCGCCCGAAAAACGGCUUAGUUGACGAGGAUGGAGGUUAUCGAAUUUUCGGCGGAUGCCUCCCGGCUGAUUCAUUUAGAUCACAGCCGUAAGGAUUUCUUCAAACCGGAGGGGCGACUCUCCGAACAAAGAGAAAUCACAUGAUCUU
rfam:Bacillus amyloliquefaciens FZB42, complete genome.